GCCCUAGUAACGGCGAGUGAAGCGGCAACAGCUCAAAUUUGAAAUCUGGCUCUUUUAGAGUCCGAGUUGUAAUUUGCAGAGGGCGCUUUGGCUUUGGCAGCGGUCCAAGUUCCUUGGAACAGGACGUCACAGAGGGUGAGAAUCCCGUACGUGGUCGCUAGCUAUUGCCGUGUAAAGCCCCUUCGACGAGUCGAGUUGUUUGGGAAUGCAGCUCUAAAUGGGAGGUAAAUUUCUUCUAAAGCUAAAUAUUGGCCAGAGACCGAUAGCGCACAAGUAGAGUGAUCGAAAGAUGAAAAGCACUUUGGAAAGAGAGUCAAACAGCACGUGAAAUUGUUGAAAGGGAAGCGCUUGCAGCCAGACUUGCUUGCAGUUGCUCAUCCGGGCUUUUGCCCGGUGCACUCUUCUGCAGGCAGGCCAGCAUCAGUUUGGGCGGUGGGAUAAAGGUCUCUGACACGUUCCUUCCUUCGGGUUGGCCAUAUAGGGGAGACGUCAUACCACCAGCCUGGACUGAGGUCCGCGCAUCUGCUAGGAUGCUGGCGUAAUGGCUGUAAGCGGCCCGUCUUGAAACACGGACCAAGGAGUCUAACAUCUAUGCGAGUGUUUGGGUGUCAAGCCCGAGCGCGUAAUGAAAGUGAACGGAGGUGGGAACCCGCAAGGGUGCACCAUCGACCGAUCCUGAAGUUUACGGAAGGAUUUGAGUAAGAGCAUGGCUGUUGGGACCCGAAAGAUGGUGAACUAUGCUUGAAUAGGGUGAAGCCAGAGGAAACUCUGGUGGAGGCUCGCAGCGGUUCUGACGUGCAAAUCGAUCGUCAAAUUUGGGCAUAGGGGCGAAAGACUAAUCGAACUAUCUAGUAGCUGGUUCUG
rnacentral:rRNA from 1 species